GUGAAGAUGAAUCUAACUGCUGUGUAAGAUGGAUUACGCCAGUAUGACAAAUGUUGCUUCCAGAGACAUGCCAUACAUUGAGUCCAGAAAGGCUGUGAAAAUUGAGUUUCAAAAUGCAGAUCCUUCGUACCAGGACGAGGCAUACUUAAUUCAGAAAUUAAGGCUUUGUUCCUCUUGUAGAGGUCUGAUUUCUUGUACAAAUCAGUAAAGUCAACUCCUAACAUCAUUUCUUGAGAUGCGGCUGUGACUUCUAACAUCCAAGUUGCUGGAUUGUAAGCCUCUUUAAUCUUACUAACUCCAGGCAAUGACUCAAAGUAUUUGAUCAAAUGACAAGAAUGGCGACCCAGAGGACCAACAUAUAUCUCCUGGCCUCCUCGUUUCAUUAAAAAUAGCUCAUCAAAGGCUUCAAAUAUGUCAAUGCUAGGCUGAUGAAUGGUACAGACUACGGUUCUUCCUGUAUCGACAGUGUUCCUAACAGCUCUCAUUACAAUGGCAGCAGCUCUUGCAUCCAACCCUGAAGUUGGUUCAUCCAUGAAAAUG
rnacentral:misc_RNA from 1 species